GUUGACAUGGCUGAGUUGGUCAAAGGCGGCAGAUUAAGGGUCAGGUCUGUAAGGGUGUGGGUUUGAAUCCCACUCUCGGCA
rnacentral:tRNA from 1 species